GGCUUUAUAGUGGAAAAAAGAUAUCAGAUUGCAAAUUUGAAGAUGCAUAUAAUAAUUGCUGAAGCUU
rnacentral:tRNA from 1 species